rnacentral:lncRNA from 10 species
AGGUGGUCCUGGAAGGAAAGUUUAGUAACGAUGACAGCUCUUCUUAUGAUAAACCAAUAACUUUUCUGUCCCUGAAGUUGAGACUUGUGAAUAUAUUAAUAGGUGCCUUGCAAACUGAAACGGACCCCAACAACACCCAAAUGAUAUUAGGGGCAAUGUUAAAUAUUGUUCAAGAUUCAGCACUUUUGGAAGCCAUUGGUUGCCAGAUGGAGAUGGGUGGUGGAGAAAAUAACCUGAAGAGUCAUAGUCGCACCAAUAGUGGUAUUAGUUCAGCAAGUGGUGGAAGCACGGAGCCCACGACUCCCGAUAGUGAGAGACCUGCUCAAGCUCUCUUAAGAGAUUAUGGUUAGUCGUGUUUCUUUUGAAAUUCAAAGUUUAAUAGAAUGACUUUAAUGCUUACAUUUAUAAAACAAAAACAUUAAAAAUGUUAAUGUUCAUGUUUUUUAUAUACUUAAGUAUAAUAGAGAGGAUGUCAGUCUUAAGAAGCUAAGAAAAAACAAAUCUUUUUGAUUUAGCUGUAUAGCUUUUGGGUAGUAUAUUAGAUUUGGGGUAGUAUAUUAGGUUUUAUAAUUGAUAGUAAUGGGUGAUCAGUAAACAUUUCUGAAUUCUCUACCAUGUGUGGUGGUAGAGAACCAAAUAAGAUGUGGACUCUGCCUCAGAGCUCACAGUGUAGUGGCAGAGAUGUCCAAUAAGCCAGUUAUUGCAGUGUGGCAAGGAGGGUAAUGGGGGAUGGAUUAGAUAGCAGCCCAGAGGAGAGCAUGUCUUCAUGUUAAAACCUGUGUACCCCCUACUGUAGCUCACUAGAUUCUUUAGCCCUGAAACAUUUUUAUUUUCUGCCCUGCCAAGUAAAACAUUUGCCAGCCAAGCAUCCUAUACAAGGUUGUCCCCUACCUUGGGCAGUUGUUUUAUGGAUUCUGUGAGUUUGUGGGUACCUUUAUGUUUUUCUACACAAGUACUAACAGUGUAUUAAAUCUGUGAGCACUUAUCCAGCUAGAUUGGAGUGAUAUCUAGAUUCUUAGAUGUGAGUUUAAUCCUUUAAUCAUCUGGAGAGUUCAUGAGCCAUGUUCAUGAGGUUCAUGAGGCAUGUCAUGAGCCAUGUUCAUGAGUUCAUGAAUUCAUGAGGCAUGUUUCUAUGGUUUAAGUUUGCAACAAGUAUCCUUGAACAUGUCAGAUAUACAUAAAGCCAUUAUGUGGAUAUUUGACACAUUUAAAUAUUAUAUUCGUGAAGAAGUUAUUUAAAUUAUCUUAUUCACUGUGUAUGUAGAUUUAGGUAUUCUAUAGGUUGAAAAUUAUUUUUCAUGCUUUCUGAAACACAUUUAAGCUAAAUAAAUUUUUCAGUACUGGCUGGGCGCAGUGGCUCACUCCUGUAAUCCCAGCACUUUGGGAGGCCAAGGUGGGCGGAUCACCUGAGGUCAGGAGUUCGAGACCAGCCUGGCCAACGUGGUGAAACCCCAUCUCUACUAAAAAUACAAAAAUUAGCUGGGGGUGGGGGUGGGUGCCUGUAAUCCCAGUUACUCUGGAGGCCAAGGUAGGAGACUCUCUUGAACCUGGGAGGCAGAGGUUGCAGUGAGCCAAGAUUGCGCCACUGUACUCCAGCCUGGGCAACAGAGCGAGACUCCAUC